rnacentral:lncRNA from 1 species
GAGAAGAGGGCUUCAGAAAGCAUUCCAGUCCACACAACUCUGAACCUUUGUGUCACCCACCUGGCACCUGAAACUCCUCCCAAUGUCCCCAGCCGGCCGCUGUUUCCACACCCUCAGAACAGGGGAACUCGGCUCCCCCCGAACCACCCAUUUCCUCCUUGGUCAGCACUGACUGUGGUGAGGUCUCGGAUUGAAUGCACCUCAACUCCUGUCACUUCAGCCAAGAGACGGGAUAUUCUCAUUGAGGAGCCCCAAGCCUUCAUCCCCCUUUCUCUCCUGGAUACUCAGCCAGGCCCUUCCUGACAGCUUCUACAUCCCCUUACUUCCCAGCCCUGUUCCUAUAGUCCAGGGGGCGCGGCAUGGAGGCCCCUGGCCCUCCUGCUAUCCCACCGUGGGACUGCUUGCUAUGUCUAUACCCUUGGAAGACUGUGGCGCCCAGAGUAGCGUUCCUGCCCAGCGGGCUGAGAUGUCGCGAAGUUUCCCAUGUGUGGUUGACUGCUUGGGGCUCCUUCAGCCUCUCCAAGAGUCAGCAUGGAGAGUGGUGGGAGGCCUCUGGCUUCCCUGCUCCCUCCCAGGUCCAGAAAGUCUUUUCUACUCUACUGCUCACCCUCCAGAGCUCUGCUUGACUGCCGUCUUCUUCCAGGAUCUUCCACGGCCUCUUCCUCCUCUGACACCUUCUAGCUUCUCUGGAAAACCCGCGCUUGGCAACCUUCCAUUUGGUGUUAUCUGAUGGGUGAGACAGAGCUUCAAGAAGGGCUAACUAUCCAUGAGACACCAUACGUGCUGCCCAUGAUACAUUCAGGGGCCCACAGAAAUGUCACUCUUUCUUUUAAAAUCAAGAUGAAAAAACAAACCAAAAAAAUGAAUAUAUAACAAUGAAUCCAAACCGAUUAUAUUCAUCUUGAUACCUAUGCAGUGGUCUUUUAAAAUAAUUUUUGAUGGAGCUUC